rnacentral:rRNA from 1 species
AGACAGCAGCCGCCGCGGUAAUAAAGAGGGUGCGAGCGUUAAUCGGAUUUACUGGGCGUAAAGCGUGCGUAGGCGGCUUUUUAAGUCGGAUGUGAAAUCCCUGAGCUUAACUUAGGAAUUGCAUUCGAUACUGGGAAGCUAGAGUAUGGGAGAGGAUGGUAGAAUUCCAGGUGUAGCGGUGAAAUGCGUAGAGAUCUGGAGGAAUACCGAUGGCGAAGGCAGCCAUCUGGCCUAAUACUGACGCUGAGGUACGAAAGCAUGGGGAGCAAACAGGAUUAGAUACCCCUGUAGUCCCUGUCUCUUAUAC